GGGGCUGACCGGUUUUGACAGCAAGGAUAAUGGAUAGGUAAGCAUGCAGGCUCAAGCACUAGAAGCCUUGAAAACGGGUGCAAACCAUAAUUGGCGAAAAUAAUUACGCUCUUGCUGCUUAACCGAAGCAUAGUAGGUUAAAGCUUAAUCCCCGCACAGGUGCAGGGACAAGACAUCUCCCCCAAAGCAAGCCCAUCGGUUUGGGAUCAGGAGGUGCUCGUGAGAAUGGGAUAGCUGGUGCGAUGCGGUUAAACGCCAGUGAAAUUUUAGCCGCUAAGGGCAACCUUGGGUGCUUGUGUCCAGAGUUACUCCGACAAUCAAACACAAGAUAAGCAUGUAGAAAGCAUAUCUGUUACUUGUUUGGACGGCGGUUCGAAUCCGCCCAGCUCCACUU
rnacentral:tmRNA from 1 species